GUAUUUUCUCCAUCUUAUGGCAGCAUAUAUUUUCAACACAGAGUGAGGGCAGUGUCAUUCCUCCUGUCCACUACCCCAACUUCUACUCCCAACACUACCACAACAAUGAGCGGUCUGGUGUGGUGGCUGAGGAUUCUUUUGAAGAGGACAAUGCUUCUGCUUCAUCUGAGCAGCUUGAAGCUGCCUGCAGAAAUAGGCAAAACAGCAACUGACGAAAGAAUAAAGUUGAAGGAAACUGGAGUUUCCCUGCAAAACAAGCUAUCAAGAAGACCUAUACAAUGUGUGUUCAAAGUGUCUGGCUAAGAGUUGGAGAUCUGGCAGAGAAGCUGUGGCCAGAGGAAGGAGGCUUGGCUGCUGCACCAGACCCAUAGACCACAUCUUUGGAGUGGCUAAUGUUGCUAUUUUUAAUCCUGUUCUAGACAAAUAUUUAUUAAUUAUGGAAGCCUUGUCCGAAUUUGGUACACAUGUAUAACUCUCUCUUUUGCUGGUUGUACAGAGAUCUUUAUUCUCUUUGUUUUCAGUUGUUAUUUUCUUUGCCUUAUUCUUAAGCCUAACAAGGAGCCCUUCAGGAUAACCCAGCUUUUUGAAAGUUGAUAUGAUAUAUCAUAUUUCUUGCUCUAGGAAGUUGUUGCUGCAAAUUCUGAACGCUCUUAAGUAAAAACCAAUAAUCACAUCAGAUUUGACUCUCAUGCUGUGGGCUGAAAGGUAGUGAAUGAAAUCGUCCUUAUUGGACAUUCAUUCACUUGUUAAUAAUAACAGCGUAGUGUACAGCAUACCAUGCAAAGGUUGUACAAAGCAGUACAUAGGAGAAACAGGCAGGGGACUUAAAACAAGAAUAGCAGAGCAUAGGAAAGAUGUUUUAAAAUGCAACACAUCAAACUCCCUUGUAUUGCACAUAGAAAAAUGUAAACACCUACCAAAAUGGGAAGAGGCUAAGAAAUUAAAGUUGGAUUGAAGAAAAGAAUAAGAAAAGCUAUAGAGGCAGCCCUCAUAACAACUAGGGGAGUCAUUAACCACAGAGAAGGUUUUAUCAGGUGGGCGGGUAAUUCCGCCAGAUUGGCCCUCAGGUCAGGUACAAGGAAAAUCCCCAGUAAAGGCUCGUCACGUAGGCGGAUAAUGCCACUUGACUAGGAAAAUAAAAUUAGGUGAGGUACACGCCAGGAUGGCAAUACUCUGUACGAAUGUCAAAUGAGAAAAUUUUGUAUGUUGUUAUAAAUAGUGUGUUUUCACUCAUGUAAAUCAGUCUCUCUGAGGAUGGCUAUUCAGCCAAAAUGUUAGAGAUUAAAAGAAUCCUAACUCCUCCCUGGGUUUUUAUCCCCCUUCCUAAACCCAACUACUUGUCAACAUGAACAGUUCAUAUCCCAGAGUACUUAAGGAAUGCAAAGAAGUUAUUAGUGAACUGUUAGUUUCUGCCUUUAGGAAAUCACUUGAGAUACCGGUAAUGUGGAGGCAAGUUUAAGCUUUAAGAAAGGAGAUUUAAGCUUAACUUCUGUUGUAGAUAAAAUAAUGAAGUCUGUAAUAGUAAAGAACAUUAGGGAACAUUUAGACAAACAUAACUUGAUAAAUUGGUCACAGCAUAGCUUCACAAAGGGGAAGUCUUACCUGACAAACUUGUCAAGAUUUUACUGUAAAGUUUACAUGGCAGGAGAUAAUGCUGAUAGUUAUGACAUCCUAUAUCUGGACUUCAGUGAAGUGUUUGACAAGGUACCCCAUCAGAGGCUCCUGAGAAAGGUUAGGGCACACGGAAUAGAUGGGAAGGUGUUAGGGUGGAUAAGGUUGUGGCUAAGUGACAGGCGACAGAGUCAUAAUAAACAGCUCUAAAUCGGAGUGGGAUUAAGUAAUUAGUGGGGUGCCACAGGGAUCAGUAUAAGGGCCAUUGAUGUUUUUAAUAUACAUCAGUGACUUGGAUAGUUGAAUUAGUUGUGACGUUAGUAAAUUUGAGGAUGACACGAA